CAGAGACGAGACGGUUCAGAACUCAUUAGGCUCUCUGAGACAUUCUUAAUGAGUAAUUCAUCGCUGUGCCUGGUAAUUGUAAUCAGUUAGCAGAGGAUAAAGAGAGAGAGUCAAAAAAAAAAAAAAAAAAAACCCAGGAUAUUCAGACCAGGUGGUUCUAGUGUUGCUGUGAGCAAAAGCUCUCAUCAGACAUGACAUAUUGGCGACGACACUAAACACAGCUAAUUACAACUAAUGAGAGGCUUGGAAUGAUGUUGUCACCAGCUGGGAAACGCUGCCUCCACCUACAUCCAAUCCCAGUUUUUUCCCCCCUUCCAUUUUCCUCCGCCAAAGGUUUUAACGACGCUACGACUAAGUGGAACACGCUGGAAGGUCGUCAAAGCGGCGGCAUCAAUUUUUCGCCGAAUCCGAAAGAUGUUUGCAUGAGAAAACGGGAAGAAGCCGGGAAUUUAGUCGCAGGUGUUAUUAUGCACCGCUAGAAAGAAGGUGUGUGAGCCGAGCAGAUCGGGCGGGCGUCGCAUUCAGGAGCUCACUGCUGCUAUACUUUGCUCACUGGGUGCCCUGGAUCCGCCUGAUUCAGCAGUCUCAGCUGGUCUAUUCUCACUGUGGUGUGAUGGGAACCUGUGAAUUACAGCGGAAGGAGAUGUGAAGGUGAGAGGCUCCAUCGUGACGUGGCCGGCCUCUUUCUUUCGGAGCACUGAGAGCCCAUAUUCAACCAAUUUCAGCGAGAGUGAUGAUUAUUUGAAAGGAGGAGAAAGGCUUGGCCGAGAAACAAACAAACAAAAAUAAAAUCCCGGAUGUGACAUAAUAAACACUUUGGAAAGA